rnacentral:rRNA from 1 species
GCCCCCCCCUUUCUUCGUGCCUAAUACAUGCAAGUUGAGCGCUGAAGGUUGGUACUUGUACCAACUGGAUGAGCAGCGAACGGGUGAGUAACGCGUGGGGAAUCUGCCUUUGAGCGGGGGACAACAUUUGGAAACGAAUGCUAAUACCGCAUAAAAACUUUAAACACAAGUUUUAAGUUUGAAAGAUGCAAUUGCAUCACUCAAAGAUGAUCCCGCGUUGUAUUAGCUAGUUGGUGAGGUAAAGGCUCACCAAGGCGAUGAUACAUAGCCGACCUGAGAGGGUGAUCGGCCACAUUGGGACUGAGACACGGCCCAAACUCCUACGGGAGGCAGCAGGAGGGAAUCUUCGGCAAUGGACGAAAGUCUGACCGAGCAACGCCGCGUGAGUGAAGAAGGGUUUCGGAUCGUAAAACUCUGUUGGUAGAGAAGAACGUUGGUGAGAGUGGAAAGCUCAUCAAGUAACGGUAACUACCCAGAAAGGGACGGCUAACUACGUG